GUUCUAUACUCUCAUGGGACUUCAAAAUCUCGCAGGAAGAGAUUUUGAAAUCCCAUGAGAGUUUAGAACAAUCCCUCCUGUGUUGUGCUGGGUGACCCAUCCACUAGGAGCUCUUCCUGUUGGUCGUCCUCCUGCCACUGUUCACUAUCUCUUGCAUACUUACUACACCGUGUCCUUUUUUCCCUCUCAUAGCACUGUGACUGCACGGCAGUGGCUUGUUUUGAUGUCUCAAUCUCUCUAUUAGAACACAAGUUCCUGUGGAAAGCAGUACAGUGGGUAACACUUGUUUCUGCCUCUGUUUUCACCUUUGAGAUUGUAUCAACGGAGACAUGUAGGGCAGUUGGGAAGUGAUUACUUUUGGUGUGAAUAUUUGAAGACAGCUGGGAGUGUUCCAAUAAGGUCCUCUGAACAAACAUCAUGGGAGAUAUUCCUCUCUUCAGACUCCAUAGCUUAGCACUAAAUCACAGUCAGAAAAAGAUGGUCAAAUUUGGUUCACAGCACCUGCCCAGGACCUACUUUCUUCCCUACCUAUGCUACCCAGAGGCGAAACAGCAAAUCAGCACCAGACAGCCACCUAGCUUCAAGGUAGGAAAUAACCUAUGCUACAGACAUAUUCAUUCAUGUUCCGGUAUAAUAAAAUACUGGAGCAAACAAACACAGACUGGGCUUUCAUUUUGAAUAAAGUGGUAUAUGGCUAUAGUCUCUCUUCUCCCCCUGGGCUUCAGGCCAUGCCCUUCACUUGGCCAGUGUCAGUUUGUCCACUACCCUUUCACACAAUGCUUGACCUGGUAAGUCUAUGAUCCCCACAACUGGUGCACUCUCCUUCCCCUAGUUUGCCAACAUCACUCACCUGAUACUUUUACAUAAAGACCUCUUCAGGCUCUACCUCCAUGGUAUGACUUUUUUUCUCAUGAAAUAAAAAUAAAGCUUCUUCUCA
rnacentral:lncRNA from 13 species